ensembl:lncRNA
UAAGAAACAGCACCAGAUCACUACAGAAGCUUUGUGUGAGAAGUCGUGCGUCUAAUAGCUGGCUGGUAAACAAUCGGCAGCAUCUUCAACAGGUUCCGCUUUCACCAGGGAUCUACGACAGCUGGUUAACAACAGAGGGGACUCGAUACGAGCCAGAGACAACAAGACUGUUGGUCUGUGUAAAGGUGCCUGAUAACGUGAAGGAGCCAAGGUGGUCGGAGACUUUGCUGCAAAAAAAAUCAUGCUGACUGCUUACCUGCUGGCAAUCUUCUUCAUCUGCGCAGGUAAGUGUAGUCAAUCACACAAUCAUUGCAGACCAAAAAUGAGAACUUAAAAGGUAUAUUUGGGUUAGAGGAAUCUUUUUUUUUUAAAGUUUUUAUAGCUAAAUGUAUCAAGACAGACAAAACAGCAGUUAUUCACAACAGGAAAAUGGGAGCGUUUCCAGGUUUUUUUUUUAAAUGGGCCGGCAAAGGAGAACCUCGGGUGGCUGGGUUGGGGGUGGAGAUGUCUCACAGGGACAAAUAAAAGCAUCUGGAAGUUCAAUGAGUUCUAAUAAUGUUAAUAUGCUCCACAAACAUGCAUUAGAUGUAGCUGCUUGUAGCAAUGUUGGAGUCACA